rnacentral:rRNA from 1 species
GCUGGAUUCGCUAGUAAUCGCGCAUCAGCCAUGGCGCGGUGAAUACGUUCCCGGGCCUUGUACACACCGCCCGUCAAGCCAUGGAAGCCGGGAGUGCCUGAAGUAUGCAACCGCAAGGAGCGUCCUAAGGUAAAACCGGUGACUGGGGCUAAGUCGUAACAAGGUAGC